rnacentral:rRNA from 1 species
ACGCUCGACACCUACGGAGGCAGCAGUAGGGAAUCUUCCACAAUGGACGCAAGUCUGAUGGAGCAACGCCGCGUGAGUGAAGAAGGUCUUCGGAUCGUAAAACUCUGUUGUUAGAGAAGAACACGAGUGAGAGUAACUGUUCAUUCGAUGACGGUAUCUAACCAGCAAGUCACGGCUAACUACGUGCCUGCAGCCGCGGUAAUCUGAGCGGGCUGGCAAGGC